GUUCUCAGUAGGCAGCAGCUCUCCCAAUUGGCCAACUUUGCUGAAUCCGAGCAGGGCAUUUCAGUUGGACUCUUUUCAAGUGCCUGAGAACAUCUAGCUACACACUCCAACAAUAGCAGCAUAUAACUGUGUUUACAGAACAGAGCGGAAGAAAGGAAAAGACGGGGAAGAGGGGCAGACAACGGAGACAGGCGAGGAACAGACCACCCACACAUCUCAACCCCCAUGGCAAGUGAUAUCAUUGACGUGGCUGGCGGUACUGUUCUGCAGGAUAAACAGGAGUUUGGGACUGCAGGAGCACAACAACAAAGACU